rnacentral:rRNA from 1 species
CUCUGGUGUUCCGGUUGUCACGCCAGUGGCAUUGCCGGGUAGCUAUGUUCGGAAGAGAUAACCGCUGAAAGCAUCUAAGCGGGAAACUUGCCUCAAGAUGAGAUCUCACUGGGAUCUUGAAUCCCCUGAAGGGCCGUCGAAGACUACGACGUUGAUAGGUUGGGUGUGUAAGCGCUGUGAGGCGUUGAGCUAACCAAUACUAAUUGCCCGUGAGGCUUGACCAUAUAACACCCAAGCA